rnacentral:misc_RNA from 1 species
UUAGCAGUAGCAGCAGAAGGAUGGAAAGAACUUGAAGAAGAUUGGGCAGUAUGUAGGGGAAGACUUUGGGAAGAUUCAAAAGGGGUAUUUAGACCUGGAGAUAAUGAAGGAGACGAUGAUAGUGAAAAAGGAGGAGAGGGAAAUUGAGCAUAAGGCGGAGAGGAAAAUAAGAAAGGACUCAAAUCAUGGUUGUUAUUCCCCAUUGAAGGAGGGAGGGAGAGAUGGAUCUAAUGAAAAUUGAAGAAGCCAAGUGAAAGGAGGGGUUAUAAAGGUCUUCAC